rnacentral:lncRNA from 1 species
GAAGUCCAAGAUCAAGGUGCUGGCAGAUGGGUGUCUGGUGAGCACCCACUUCCUCACAGAUAGAGGCGCUAAUCCCAUUGGUGAAGGCUCCACGGUCAUGACCCAAUCCCCUCCAAAGGCACCACCUUCUAAUACCAUCACAUUGCGGGAUAAAAAGUUCCGUGAAAGCAAGGACCAUCCCUUUUCAUCUCUGUGUCUCUUGCCGCUAGCCUGGUGCCACGAAGUCAGUGCUCAGCACAUGUUUGUUGAAGGAUGUUGUUGAAGACCCCGCCCAUGGCUGUCCACCAUCUAGUCCAUCCGGAACACCUCAGCACCAAGUUCAGGCUUCCAUCUUCUUGUUGUAGCGAGGUCAGCUUGCGGUGGAAUCCUCAAGGAAAGACUCCCCACAACAACACAACUUAAACAAAGUGGAUGGAGAGGAGAAAGGAAGGCACUGCCGGCAAUGUGAACAACACGAGCGAAGUUAGAGGGACAUGG